GAUGCUGAAGAUGUAGGACCUGUGAUGAUGUCACGAUCACAUGUUGGGGGCAGAGCUUAGCUGUGGAGGAGAGGAAAGAUCAUAUGGCUGAAGGACAUGUGUGAUGCGGUGGAGGAGGCGGGGCUGAGGUGGAGGAGAGGUCACAUGUCACCCCAGUAAGGUUGUCCACAAAGGAGAAAGUGAGGUCCUUCCCUGCCACCCAUUGAGACACUGGAUAGGAAUUGUCUAUUCACCUGCCGUGUUCUGUCUCCACUUCUCAUCCCUUACUGGUGACCCUUACUCUGCCAGUCAUUUGACACAACAGUGACCUGCAUAAGCCACUGAUGUCAAGACCAGGAAAUACCGAGCAGCAGGACCAUGCACCAUCCAAGUACAUCACUUUAUGUGGAUAUCACACUUUCUUUACUGAACAGUCAAUUUACAGUCAAACCCUCUAUUUAGUUCCUUGAACCAAUCGGGGAUUAAACGUUUUUGAGGACUUGGUGUAUGGGUGAAAUCUAAAUAUAACCUCACUCAAUUGGCCUAGACUACCAUAUGCUCAGAUGAAAGUCUUCUAUCUCAGAAGGCUCAGAAAAAACCCAAAUGGCAGAAUGAUUUGAUUUGUUCAUUAAAAAUGCUA